rnacentral:lncRNA from 1 species
GAAAAUAUUUUAAGUCGGGUUGAUAUUGUUAAAAUUUAGAUUUUUAAGUUUUUAUAAUUUUUUUAUUGCAAUUGAUAACCGCCUGGUUUUCCUAGCCCAGGAAUAAGGACGGAUCCAAAAGAAGACCACAAGUCCAAAACCCGUCAGACCAUAUGCUCGAAAGACGGCCCGAUUUCACAAGCCCAGAACAGCAACGCAGGGCAAUUCGGAUCAGAUACGAGCACAUGCCCAAUAGAGAAGCAGGCCCAGUCACUCACCAACCCUGUUCGCACGCGUGACAGGGAGAAUUAAAUGGCCGCUUGGCGUGGAGAAGGGGUCUGACACGUCCGUACGUACAGGCCUGAGUGACAUGGACAGGUAGCACUAUAGACUAGGGGUCUUCUCUCUUUUUAGGGCUCUCUCUUCUGGAGGCUCAGAGGGCUUCUUCUUCCUUCUCCUUCCUGGACUCCAUUUUUAUUUUCUCUCUGCAACUCUUGCCUAAAUAUACUACUUUAAUUCAUGAAAUCUGACUUGAACAUCGGAGGGUCUCCACCGGGGAAUCCCCGGUAGACCCCUGACCGUUUUUCCUUGUUUUGCAAGUCCUUUCAUCAGAUAGAACAUUGAGAGACCCAUUUGAUGGACCCAUAUGAUGGACCAAGAAGGAAGCCAGAUCUAUCAUGGACUAGGAGGAGAAAAAGAUUUAUGAAAUGGCGCCGUCUGUGCGAAACGAAGGAGAUCUUUUCGUCACCGGAGUUCCUAAAUCCACCCAUUGAGAUCCACAUGAAG